UACGGAGGGUGCGAGCGUUGUCCGGAAUCAUUGGGCGUAAAGGGCGCGUAGGUGGCCCGGUCAGUUCGUGGUGAAAGCGCGGGGCUCAACCCUGCGUCGGCCAUGAAUACUGCCGCGGCUGGAGCACUGUAGAGGCAGGCGGAAUUCCGGGUGUAGCGGUGGAAUGUGUAGAGAUCCGGAAGUACACCGGGUUCUCAGGCGGCCUUCUUUGCAGUUGCUGACACUGAGGUGCGACAGCGUGUUGUGCAAACAGG
rnacentral:rRNA from 1 species